GCCUGCAGGGUCUAGAGGACCCUUUGGGGUUGGAGGACCCCAGGGGAUGCAGCAGGGUCUGCAGCAGAGUCUGCAGUGUCCUGGGGAAGGUUCCUGAAGGACUCGGGGUCUGGGGUCCCUCUCAGAGACCUUGUAGGGUCUCAGGUCCUUGGAGAGCUCUGAGGGGACCUUUGGGCUUGGGGGGGACCAAGGGUCUGGGGUGCCCUUGGAUGGGGUUUCUUGAGGGACCCUAUGGGGUCUGGGGUCCCCUGCUAGGGGAUCUGAGGGGGACCCUGCAGGGUUUGGGGGCAGUACAGGGGAUCUGCUCUCAGCACCCCACUCCAAGGUCACCUCUCAAAGGCAGGUGGGUUGAGAGCAGCCCUUCCGCCCUGCCUGAGCCCCCUUGCCCCCCAGGGACCUCAGCCCUACAGGAUGCUGGUGGAACCCACACCUCAUGUCGGGGCUCAGGGGCAGGAGCUUAAGCCCCUGCCACGCAGGAGGAGCUGGGGGGCCAUGGGCUGCCGUCCCCGGACGGUGUUUUUCAGCUGUGGACUGUGCAACCUCGCGGGGACGGAGAGCUGAAGACGACCAGCUCUCGCCACGUUUGCCUCCCAGGGGGCUUGGCCCAGGGCCGAGGGAUUUUUAAGAUCGGGUUGAUGACGCUCAAAGCUGCUCCGUGCUGAUGUUUCCGCUCCGAAGCGAGUCUGGCCGGGCACCCCGGUACCUCUGAACGUAACCGCGCAGCAAACCACGGCCUUGCAGCAGCGGCACCAAGGGCUCUGGAGGCGCGGCGAGGCGGAGCGGCUGUGCUGGCAAAACCCUCCGCCAGCUUUCGCAGGACACGCAGAGCUGCAACGUCUGCAAUGCCCGGGCGAAAAGCAUUAAUCGACCCUGCAAACGAGCUGCGGAAAUGGGGGGGCUCGGACACAUCUCGCUUCACUGCACCAAGCUUUCGCGGUGGCUUGUCCUCGACGCUGCAUGAAUUCCUCCGUCGUGCUGGAAGAUCGUCACCCACCCUCUUUUUUUUUUUUUUUUUUUUUUUCUUUUUUAAACUUGAAGACUUGGGGGAUUUUACUGACUCAUGAAUGUGCAGAAGCUACCUUAAUAUGAGAGACAGCAGGUCUGUUAUGUAAUCCUUGCUUCUCGCGGCCGUGCCGGCUGGUGCUGCAGCCGGACUCGCGUGCCCACGCGGCGCUGCCCAUCCUCUGCGGCGGGAGAUGCUGGCAGCGGGCACCAGCAUCGGUAAACUUUGACAUAUUUUAUUCAUUCUAUGCAGCAUCUUUAGGUGUUGGCUGAAAUACGGUGGAGAGGGUGAUUAUAACAGGGAUUAGCAACUAA